rnacentral:rRNA from 1 species
GACGAACCGAGCGAACGUUGUUCGGAAUCACUGGGCUUAAAGGGCGCGUAGGCGGGUUCUCAAGUCCGGGGUGAAAUCCCACAGCUCAACUGUGGAACUGCCUCGGAUACUGGGGGUCUCGAGGGUGGCAGGGGUAUGCGGAACUAUCGGUGGAGCGGUGAAAUGCGUUGAUAUCGAUAGGAACUCCGGUGGCGAAGGCGGCAUACUGGACCGGCAUUGACGCUGAGGCGCGAAAGCCAGGGGAGCAAACGGG